GGAGGUGUGGCAGAGCGGUCAAUCGCGCCCGUUUCGAAAGCGGGAGUCCAAGGACACGUGGGUUCGAAUCCCACCACCUCCU
rnacentral:tRNA from 1 species